GACAGAGGGUGCAAACGUUGUUCGGAAUUACUGGGCGUAAAGCGCGUGUAGGCGGCUAUGUAAGUCGGGCGUGAAAUCCCACGGCUCAACCGUGGAAGUGCACCCGAAACUGCGUAGCUAGAGUCCUGGAGAGGAAGGUGGAAUGCUUGGUGUAGAGGUGAAAUUCGUAGAUAUCAAGCGGAACACCGGUGGCGAAGGCGGCCUUCUGGACAGUGACUGACGCUGAGAUGCGAAAGCGUGGGGAGCAAACAGG
rnacentral:rRNA from 1 species